GCAGAUAGCAGAAGCCAAACGACUCAGAGACAACGACUCAGAGACAAAUUAGGGUUAGGGUUUUCUCAAUCGUUAGUGCCUAAUCAGCUAAGCAGAGUAAUCGCGACAAUGAUCUACGACGUCAACUCCCCCCUCUUCCGAUCCUUCCUCAGCCAGAAGGGUGGCUCCUCCGACAAAAGGAAGUUGGAAGAGCAGAAGCCGAAGGAGCAUCGACCAAAGGCCAGUGAGAAUAAGCCUGUUAUGAAUGAGUGACAACAGAUUGACAUAUAAGCUAUGAAUUGGUUUAGGACCCUUGGUGUUGUUAACUAGAUGAGUACUAUGUGUUUAAGACAAGAUUAUUGCUACGUAUUGGCUUUUCGGUAACUUCUUAAGCAACCAUUUAUGGUUAUAUGUACUUUUGACCGUUGGAAUUAUGAUUUACACUCAUUUGAGUUGCACACAGAGCAACCCAGAAAGCCAAAUGACCAGAAAACUCAGUAAAACAAGCCAGGAAUGGGAUUCCUGGGCCACCCAUCAAGAAUAAGAAGAAAACAAGCCAUUUGGGUAUAGUGCAAUGAAUUCAUGACACAAUUUUUUUUAAGGGAGACUUUGGAUGCGGUCUUUAGCUAUGAAUAUUUUUUGACUGAAAUUUUGUUGGUUUUUCAAUUUUUGAUCCAAGUUUUUGAAAUUAAUGUGAUAAUUUAUUUCUAU
rnacentral:sRNA from 1 species